rnacentral:lncRNA from 1 species
GAGCCCCUGGUGGCUGGAGGUUGAUCCUCUCUCUAUUCUGUGCUCAGCUUAGCAUUCCUUUGGCUCUUUCUGAAUCAGUGAUUAAUGUUUGCCUUUAUAGCUCAGAGAAAUUUGUCAUCUUGAGAUUAGUAAUAUGUCAGCGGCGUGUGCCCUACCUACAGCACAAGCUAGCUGUGGGGACUGCAAGGAUCAGGCACGGUGCCUGUCUUGGUAUCUACAAGAGUAAGGAGCACCUUCUUCUCACCCCUACAAAGCGCUGCCCAGAGAUGAGAGCGGCCGUUGUUUAUCGGACAUUAGCUUUUACUCAUUUCCAAGGGAAACGCUGGAAAGGAAAACAAAUGAAUGAAUGCUGCUUAGUCACAACCCUGGGGGAAAUUGGAGGUGCCACUACAUGGAAAGUCAACAAAGAGUCUUCAGCCAUCUUCUCCAUUACACUAUCAUUUAUUCUGUAAGGGCGGGAUGCCAAACUCCUGUGCUUGUCACAUCAGAACCAAGACUCCCACUGGCACAGCAUGACCAGCCGAAGAGAGCCUCUGAAUUCUCGGGAAAGUUCCCUUCCUGAGAUGUCUGGACUUGCCAGAAGCCUUUCUCUCAAGCUAAUGUUAAAAGCAGGGCUAAAGGGUCAGCUACAGCUGAAUUCAAAUCCUUGGUCACCCUCUUGUCAUUGGAUAAAUGAUUUAAAUAACUUACUUGAUCAAUAGGACCCUCAGUGUCCUUUUUUAACAAAUGAGAACAAAAAUGCUAUUUGCUUCCAGAGGUUGUUUGGGAUUAAGCUGAUUAGUCUAGACAAUGGGUGCCUGGACCGAAUUAAGUCUUCAACCAUGUUAGUUACUACUGUUUUGCCUUUCCAUGAAGGCCCCUCUGUGAAGCUUCCUCCUCGCAUGAGAUAGCUAAUUCAAUAUUAUCAGGCAUGGAGUUCCUCCGGAUGGACCCCUCCCUCACAAUCAGAAGUUUGUGAAACCAGGAGUUGAAACUGCAGGAUUCGGCU